UUUUUAUGGAGAGUUUGAUCCUGGCUCAGGACGAACGCUGGCUGCGUGCUUAACACAUGCAAGUCGAACGCUGAAGCCCCAGCUUGCUGGGGUGGAUGAGUGGCGAACGGGUG
rnacentral:rRNA from 1 species